UCACACUAAAAUUCACAGCUGUAUUAUUGAGGUGGAAACUUUUUGUCUAUCUAUUUUUUCUUUGAAGGAAAUUGCGCCCGCGCUCGCACACACACACACACACAUACACACACAUUCAGCAGCUGAAUCUCAACCUCUGCCCGGUUAAUUUAAAAGAGACCGCCGUGUGUGUGUGUGUGUGUGUGUGUGUGUGUUAUUUUGGGUAGGCUACUCUCUCUCUCUCUCGUGUGCGCUUUCUCCUUUGCUCGCUCUCUUUCGUUAUCAUUAAUUCAAAUAAAUGUAAUAUUACCUGCUACUUUAUUUCCCUUCAGGAUUCUACAUUUAACGAUUGUAGAUAAAAUAACAAACGCAAAUUACUAUUUUCCAGUCUAUAUUCGUUCAGUCAGAAUUCACGCUGCAAAACAUCUAUGACACUGACAGCUGUUUACUUAUCCACUCUGGCAGGUAAUCAUGGCCACCCGACGUGAAAUAUAUAAAUAAUUUUAAUAGCACGGCCAUUCAAAACGCGAGGGUCUACCAUGUGCAUGUAAAGCUAUCAAUGACAAUCAUUUUGGGCGGGAAUUAAUGUAAACACAGAUAUCGGAUACCAGUCGCAUCUAAAGUGAAUGUAAACACAGGGGCCAAAAAAUCGGAUAUGGUCAAAAGAUUGGAUCUGUGCAUUAAGACUUGCAGUGUAAAUGCAGCCUAAAUGUAUUAAAACAGUUGUUCCCUUGUCUAAUAAAACAUGUAAUAUAUUAAAGAGUCUUUGGUGUUUCCAUGGUUUCUACAAAAUAAAACCGGAAACCGAGGGUAACGUGGAUAUGACGCCAUUGACAGGCGACUCCCGGACACGUCCCAUAUCCUAGGUUAAAAUCACGAUUUUCUCACGAUUUACAAAUAGUUGGAAACAUUUGUGAUAUUGUAAGUACUCAACUGAACAAAAUAUAUAUAACACUGGCCUAGUGGUUUUUGAUAUUUUACUUAAAAAUCUUACAUAUUGUACAUUUAAUGAACAGCUAUUAACUAAUUAAAUCAUAAAAAUGCAAAAUUAAACAAAAUAAUAAUAAAAAAAAAUCAAAAUUAAACACUAAAAAAAGUAGUAUUUUAAAAUGUAAUGUAAUCUAAUUACAAGUACUUAAUUUUUGGAAUCUGAUUACAUAAUCCAGAUUACAUGUAAUCAGUUACUACCCAACACUGAUUGUCAAUAGCGCAGCGAUGCACGAAGCACAGUUCACACAGAGGUUACUUUCAAAACAAGCAGCUUUCUGUUGAUAAAUGUGGCAAAUCCGUGAAAAACUUGAUCUUUUUGCGAAAUCGAAAAAUUCAUGUGGAUUUCGCCUGUGAAAAUUUGCCAAACAAUGUUAAAUGUAAUCGCACAUUAAGAGUGUCUAUUUAAAAGCUGCUAUCCCUUUUCACCUUCUAACUAUCUUUGGAAAUCAUGUGCCUUAUAUAUAGCACACAAUGCUACCUCAGUGUGCUGAGCUAAUGAGACUUUUAAUUAGGUCUAUCUCUUAAGAUGAAACAGAUUUUUUUUAAUGAUCGUCUGAGAAAGACAGCAGGGUUCAGAUUGUCUGUUCGCUUUGCAAGGCUUUUGGAAGUUAAGCUUCGUUAAGGGCGAGGCGGGUGCUGCUGGCACCCAAGACCGCCACUUUUCGGUAAAGGUCAUGUGACCUUCUCUGCUUGAAUAGCUUUUGUGCGACGAGCAGGGCGUCCUAUCUUUGGUUGCUCUUUGACCCAGAUAUGAUCUAAUGGACAAGGGAAGUUUAGACAGCAAAGGACUGAAUGGUGGACGUGGUCUUCCCAAAUCCCUUCAGUUGUGUUCCCAGCUAAGCCGUGCCUGCGGGUGCAAGCGGGCCCAGUGAACGACCUCCAGCAGAUGAAUUUGAAAAACAAGUAACAGCCUACAAAUGCCACUUGAAGCCAUUUGUUAUGACUGUGUAUGGCUUUCAGGAAUUACACUGCCAACUUCACCCUGCCAACAUUCCGUUCUUGGUUGAUAAUGAAAUCCGUCCGGCACUGGAAUCCUUUUGUGUGCACUUCAAAUGCAGACUGUAUUAAUAUUACAGAUACCAGUGAAACUAUGUAAUGUAUGUGUAAUGAUGUCCCUAACAUCAGCCUUAAAUGCAUUACAUGGCCUUAGAAGCCCUCUGCUGGUCAAAGUUGAGUGUAAACAUCAAGGGUGUAUGGUUGUGUUAUUGUUGAAAGGUAAUUAUGAUCAUAUUAAUCAUACUGACAUAUUUAUUUAAUUUACAUCAAGACUGGCAUUUACUAAGACACACUUCAAACUCUUGUUCUUCAUAAAAUUCCCAAAUCCUCUGUAAAUUCAGGACUGUGGUGAGCAGAAAGCAGGAUGGAGAGAUGUAGCCACAUUGAUUGUAUUGGGAUCAAUGCUCCCAUUUACUGUCUAACUGAUUUUUUUCUUCUUUAAUUAUGUAGGGUGUCGAUGGCAUUUAUCCAAUCACCCCAGGCCUGCUGAGUGCAUUCCCAGUGAGAGACAGCAGUUUGAAGAGCUUUCAUCUGCAGUGAGACAGAAUUGGCGCCUUCCCUCUGUGAUACACGUCUGCGGUCAGACGUUCUGCCAGACGGACCACAGUGUGCCUAAAGUAAUGCCGUAGGCCAACACGGUGAGCAGGUAGACGCGAAACAGCAGGACGUCCAA